GCCGCCCUAGCUCAAUGGCAGAGCAACGGUUUUGUAAACCGUAGGUUCCGAGUUCGAAUCUCGGGGGCGGCUCCA
rnacentral:tRNA from 1 species